CGUCACGUGCCGCUACGCCGGCAUCGCAGCUCGUAGUCCACCAUGGGUCCACGCCACCACCGCACUUCGCAGUCCGCAGCCGCACCAUCCGUCCACCUCCACCCCAACUCCGACGCCUAGCCAGCCACCUGCGGCUCUGCUAGAUUGCCUCGCCCGCUCAGGUGCUCUCUGCUCAGCAACUCGCGCCCCGUCGCUCAGGUGCUCAGCUUGUCGCGCGCCCACGCCUCACUGGUCACCCGCCCGUCGUGGGCUCGUCACCAACUCACCAUGGAGGCCCAAGAUCCGGUGUCGCAGACUCGCAGGCACACGAAGGACGUCUGCCAGGACUGCCACCUCGACGAAGUUCUUGUUCUGGAUCAGUGAGCAAGCGCACAAAGACCCUAGCUUCCAAGAAGAUGACGAUGAUGGCAAGUAGUACAUGUGCAUCGUCGGCAUCGCAAGUAUCCAUAGAAAAGCAACUCGAUGUUGUGAUGGAGAUGGAGGGGCAAGGGGAGGAGCACGCAUGGGAGAUUUUGUUGACGGAAUCAGAGAACAGUAACUUUGAUCUUGACGAUGAGAGUCUACCUUCAGCCGAUGGAGAUGAGUUGUCAAAGACUGAGAAGACAAAGAGGUCGACAGUAGGUACUCGGGUAUCCCCCUCCAAAUGCAAGGUGAAUAGAGUAAAGAGGGCUGGUUGUUGGAAGUAUUUUAAGGUGGUCAAUGUUGCAUCUAGAAAGGAACUUGGAGUUAUGGAGACAAAAGCCAAGUGCAAGUUAUGUUAUAGGUCUUAUCUAUACCAUCAAGGGGGAGUACUACAACACUGAACCGACAUCUAGGCAAGUGCACACAGUAUUUGAACAACCUGGCACGGGCUAAGAAAAAACUUGCUCAAAGUACUAUCCCCUUUACUUUCAAUGGUGGAGUUGUUGUUGUUAAUCCCACUGAAUAUGAUCAUGAGCACACUAGACUUUUGAUUGCCAAGAUGGUAAUUGUCCAUUAUUAUGCAUUUAGAAUGGUCGAGCAUAAAUGGUUCAAUAUCUUGAUGAAAUGAAUGAAUAACAACUAUAAACCCAUUGGAAUGAAGACUAUUAAAAAUGAAUGCAUGAAGGUUUAUGAAUCCGAGAAAGAACUGAUGAAGAAGAGUCUUAGAGAGGCUGAAUCAAUAAGUUUAACUACUGAUUUAUGGACAUCAAAUCAAAAUAUUCAGUAUAUGUGUUUGGUGGCCCAUUCUGUUGAUUGGAUUUUGCAAUGUCGUGUUCUGCAUUUUAUUGAAUUGGAGGGAUCCUCCACACACUGAUAUUGUCAUUGCUCAGGCUAUUUUUGAAUGUUUGGUUGAAUGGAAAAUAGAGGAUAAGAUCUUGACAAUCACUCUUGAUAAUGCUUCCAACAAUGAUUCCACUAUUACAAAUUUGAAGUCCAAGCUUCUUGCUAGGAAGAACUCAACCUUUAACCAUGUUUAUUUUCAUGUCCGUUGUGCUGCCCACAUAGUCAAUUUGGUAGUGAAUGAUGGAUUGCAGCCAAUUGACUCUUUGAUAGGUGAUAUUAGAAACAAAGUGAAGUUCUUUAAGAGGUCUCCAACCCGUAUGUACAAGUUUGUAGAAGUUUGCAACCAAUAUUCUGUGAAAGUAGGACAAGGAUUAUGCCUUGAUGUGAAAACAAGGUGGAGUUCAACAUACAAAAUGCUAGAUUCUUGCCUUGACUAUAAGGAUGCCUUUGGUUAGUAUUCUGAAGUAGACAAUAGCUAUGAAUGGAAACCAUCACACUCUCAGUGGCUUUUGUAUGACAAAAUCAGACCAAUAUUGGGAACAAUGGCAUAAGCAACUACUGCUUUUUCAGCAUCCAGUUUUAGCACCGGGGUAGGAUCCUUGAUGAUUACAUGAGUUCAUUGAAGCCAACGACUGUUCAGGCUUUGGUGUGUGCUUCUAGUUGGAUAUGUGGGUCUCGAGGUUCACCUAUUAUUGUAAUUGUAAGUGUGUGCCAUCAAUAUUUGUAAGUGUGCGGUGGCAACAUUUUCGGCUAUGUUAAACUUACUUUUAACAUUUUUUGCGGGGAAAAGGUGAUGACAGUGACAUCGAUUCUAUGGAAUUUCCAAAGUGUGUGGUGAGACAUUUGGUGACAAGGACACAAAGGAGAAUAGAGAUGGAGGAGAGCUGGGAGAGAAGACAUGAACAUAGGACAUAUGAGAUUAAUUUGGUCUAGUUGGUUGUAUGCCUGUAGCUUUUGUAAUAUUUUGGCUAUAACGUGUGGCAUAUUUUAUUGUAUGUUAAGGGUGUAACUUUGUCAAGAUACUCCUAACUCCUGCUACUCCACUUUUCACUAGUUGCUGCUAGCUUGCUAUAACAUAUGUGGGUUGUGGCUAGUUGGUGCAAUGGUGCUACUGCUACUUGUUGUUAGUCUGCUACGCAGCAGAGGCACACUUAUGUCUAUCAGUUUGUGAAUUGUGAUUGGAACUUGGAAGUAUGCAAUCAUGGGGUACUUAUAUUUAUCAAUUUGUGAAUUGUGAUU